rnacentral:lncRNA from 1 species
ACUUUAAAUGGACUAAGACAAUCUCUUAAGUUCUCUGUAUGGAAUGUAAACUUUAAGCUCUCAAAUCUGCCCCCACAUAAAUCCAUCCCUUACCCCCACAAAAUGACAUUACACAUCGACAUGACAAAAAUUGUGGUCUUCACUACAUUCUAACUUUGCUCACUGCCAUGCCACAUAGUAUAUUACAAUAAAUAUCUUGAACUUUUUAUUUUUCCUGGAGUUAAUAACUGCUUUACUUUGAUAUCCUUAGUUUUUUAAGGACUCCAACUUCUUAAGAGAACCAUACAUUCUUCUCAGUAAUGGUCAAAUGCAUCAGAUAACUCAUCAGUUGCUGUUAUUUUUUUCUCCUUUAGAGAUAACCCUCCCGGAACAUUUUGUCAUCCUCCUCUAAUCUAAACUGGAUGUUUUCUGGGCUUGAUGCAUAGUGGUCCUGGGACAUUCCCUCACCAUCCUCUUGGAAAUUUCUCAUUCUAUGCCACCGUUUUGAUAGAAUACCAUUCCAAUAGUUUUCUAAGAAUGAAUGCAUGGAAAGUUAAAAUUUUUAGAUCUGGCAUUUCCAAAAGUAUCCACAUUCUACCUUUAUACUCAAUUGACAUUUUGUCUGGAGAUGGAAUUUUAAGUGGAAACCUUUUUUUUUCUUCAGAACUCUGAAGAUACUGCUUCGUGGCAUUUGAAGGCAAUUCUGGCAUCCAGUGUUGCUGUUUGAGAGGCAUAAUGCCACACGGACUCCCUGAUCCAUCAUCUGUGAACUAUUAUGUGUGUGGGGUUGUGUGUGUGUUUUCCUUUCAAACUUUUAGAAUCUUCUUUUCAUUCUGAUAUUCUAGAAUUUCAUGAUGACCUGACUUGGUGUGGGUCUUUGUUCACUGUCCGUCAGACCGUUGGUAGAUAUUUUCAUUACUGGCAAUGCAUGUCUUUCAGUUUUGAGGAAUGUUUGUGUUUUGAGAAUUCUCUCUCUACUGUUUUCCUCAAUGUUCUCUUCAUGGAACUCCCAUGAACUGGACAUGAGCCCUAUUAGACUGACCUACAUUUCUUUUCACACUUUUUCUACCUCAGUCUUUUUAUUCUCUCUGGGAGAUUUCUUUGACUUUAUUUUCCAACUAGUAUAUUGAAUUUAUUAUUUUGGCUAUCAUUAACUUCAAAAAACCCUUUUUCAGUUUCUCAAAAUUGUUUUGAAUUGUCUUCUCUUCUUGCUUAAUAGACAUAACAUCUUAUCUCUGAGAGGAUUCCCUUGGACAUCUGAUGAUCCUUUACUGAUUUUUCCUGUAUGUAAGUGAGGAAAUACAAAGUUCCAGGUGCACAGAUGGGACCUGUCAAUGUGUCAGACCUCAUGGUAGAGGGAUUGAAAUUAAAACAUCAACAUCAAUAUCUGCAGAUCUUCUCCCUUGAGAUAAUCAGUUUCCAUAAAAAGGCAUCUUCCUAGUUGCUGCUUUGGUGGUGUGGGGUGGAGGGUGGGUACAGCAACGAAGUCUGUCUACCAGCAUUUAGUACACUGAGUGAGGGAAGACCAUCGCAGGGUGGGAAGUUUUCAGCUUCACUUCGCAACCCAGGCUCUGGAAGUAUGUCAUCUUCCAAUUGCUUCAUCAUUGCCUACUCUCCUAACCACAGGCAUAGCGCGUCAGAAGACUGAAACCCAACUCAGCCAACCAUCUAUUCACAUGCCAUCAUCCACGAGUUUGUUGACAUCUCUCAUUUGCUGUUGUCUCUCCUCAUUCUUUCUGUCCUCAUAGGUUUAUAAGUUUUCAUUUUCUUUCUUUAAAAACUCAUUUUAAGGACACCAUUAUUUUUAAAAAAAGCAAUAGAAAAUAACAAGUAUGGGCAAAGACGUGGAGAAAUUGGAACCGUCGCACACUGCUGGUGGAAAUGUAAAAUGGCAGAGUUCUUCAAAAAAUUAAAGUUCCAUUAUCAUAUG